CGGGGGAUGCCGGAUCCCGGGCUGUGUCCCGCCGCCCAGUGGUCCGGAGCCUGCGCUGGUGGAUUCGUGCUCCCGCCCUGCAGCCCCCU
rnacentral:pre_miRNA from 1 species